UCUAGAAAGGUCAGCUGAGUCAGAAGCUCUUGGGUCCCCUCAUUCAUGGCUGCAAUAUCUAAACCAGAAGUGGGUGGGCCAUGAGAAGAAUAAGAUGUUCCCUGGAGGCAGAGUAGUGACUCUUUUUUCCUUCCUUUCCUUACAGACCCCAGAGAAGGAGGCCGGCUACAGUGAGUGCUUCCUUGGGGCAGUUUCUGCCUGGGGUGUGUUGGGGGUGUGGUGCCAUCGAAGCUCACUGUCCUGCAAGGAGCACAGGGUUGUCUUUGAUUUUAAGGAAGAAAAAGUACCACCUGCCUGGUUUUGUCCUGAAUGUGUGGAGUCUUUUGGAUUUUAGAAGGAGCCUCCCUUCAGCUCUGCCCAGCCCCACCACUCUCCACCCACGCGGCCCUUUCUACUCUUCAGACAUCUUUGAAUCUUCUUUCCUCUUUAUCUUUCAUCUUCAUUU
rnacentral:lncRNA from 1 species